UAGGUGCGUGGAAAUCAUCGCCAAGGAGGGGAGGAGCCUGAAGGAGCUCUAUCUGGUCUCCUGUAAAAUCACCGACCACGCUCUGAUAGCCAUAGGCCAGUAUAGCAGCACCAUCGAGACCGUGGAUGCCGGUUGGUGUAAGGACAUCACAGACCAGGGCGCCAUGCAAAUCGCAGAGAGCAGCAAAUCCCUGCGCUACCUGGGCCUCAUGAGAUGUGACAAGGUGAACGAGGAGACAGUGGAGAGGCUGGUGGUCCAGUACCCUCACAUUGUAUUCAGCACGGUAAUGCAGGACUGCAAGAGAACCCUGGAGAGAGCUUAUCAGAUGGGCUGGAGCCCAAGUGCUUCCAACGCCUUGUAGCUGGGGUUGGAUUAUACACAUAUGCGUAAUCACACACACACACUCACACACGUUGAACAAAAGGACCAUUUCUGUCCCAAACAUUGACACACGUGCACCAUAUUUCCAGCUCAGCCCUAUUUGAUUUUCAUUUACUGUUCAAACAUGCAUGUGGACACACGCGCACACACACACACACACACACACACACACACACACACACACACACACACACACACACACACAGACUCUGUAAACUCUUCCAUUAAUCAAUUCAUGAUCUGAAUGAAACUUCCUACGUACCAUCACCUUCAAGGCAAAAAGCAACAAGCAGUUGAGUCAGUCAAGCUACACGGGGAUGACUCACCGGUGCUGAAAGCUUUCCGAACCUCGCACGUUUCAAUCGGGCGGAGCGGACGCAAAGAUGAUCGAUAAAGACGGCGGUUUAGAAAAGAACGAUUACCCCGCCAUGUUCAGUCUAGCGACACGUUCACUUCCUCUGAGGCGACGCCCACUGCAGACGACGACCACCGCAAACAGCAACGACGUCCUCCUCCCGGCUCUUGAGCCGCUGAGACCUGAGCGCUCGCUUGAGGCUUUGUGAAAAAUGUGUGAUGUGUAUCUUGACUUUCUUCCUCGUGCAGUUUCGUGUGCAGGGAUUUGUGGAUUUCUGUGCGUUUAGAUUGUUGUCGAGGCUACAUGUAAACGUUGUCCCGAUGCGGCACACGCGGGCUUGGGUCGUGGCCAAAUCCUCCUUCCCUCCCAGCCGAUUGAAUAGCAGGAAAACCACAUUGAUUAUUUCUCUAAAAGUGCACGAUUAGAUCGAGAUUGGCAUCUGCCUGAGCGACUGUCCGAAAAUGAUCUCAAAUUGGACCCAACCUCUCUGCAUGACGUGGGAACAAUGCUUUUGUUUUAUUCACAUGAGUUAAAACGAAAAGCAGGAUAAAAGUAUUAAGAGUCUCAUAUUUGAGGAUUACAGUGGAACCUCUAAAUUCAAACACAAUCCUUUGCGUGACAACGUUUGGACUCGGAGUCCAAAAACAAGUGGAAAUUGAAUCAACCUGCUUCAGGAUAUGACUGACUGACUGCUUUUUAAUGCAGUUAACCUGUGCUAACAGCAGAAAUGGCCGCCGUAAUUCAUGGUUGAGUUCUCUGGACUGCGGAAUUGAUUGUCGAUUGCUAGCGUCUUGAAGCCACUUGAGCGUGCGACCCGGCUGCGGCCAGCAGAGGUGCUGUCCAAACCGUUUUCCGGUCGCGCGAAAGGCGACAGCGACCGUUCUGCUCAAUAUGGCACCUCUAAGAAGUACUUCUUACGGAUCUUUCUUGGUUGCCGAAAGUCAGAUGCGAUAGCCUCCAGCUCAUUCGCGACACCGAUCGGGAUAAGCGCUAUAAAACUGGAUGAUGGGCGAUACCUUGGAAACGGGACUUCAGUGAAACCAAGUCAUACGUAAAAACUGAAUUUUAAAAUCAUACAUUUCUAAAUGGUGUGGUGAGUAUAUAUGCUUCCCGCGUUCUCCCCAUGCUUGUGUUUUGUUUUGUUUUUUUCCUCCAGGGACUUCAGCUUCCUGCCACUUUUCCAAAAUCUGCCUGUUCGCUUCUAUCUAAACUUUAAAUUGUCCAGGCGUGUGAAUGGGAGUGAAUGCGUGAUGUGCCCUGCAAUUGACAGUCGCUGUCUAUCAAUAACGAAUGGAUUGAUCAUUUUUGGCAGUCGAGUAAAUUCCAAGUUACCA